UCUCUCCGCUACGCCGGUCGAGCCACGCCCGCCGGUGGCCUCCUCCUGGGCGGACCUGGGCGGAGCCGCUUGGGCCCCUCGCCGCGCCCACCUCCCCUGCUUCGCUCCUCUGUCUCCGAUCGGGGAGGCAGGAGGAGGAAGACCACGAUUCGCUGGUCCACUAUCCUGCAUGCGGGACCCCCUCGUCGGCCACCCUGAAGCCGGCCCCGCCUCUGCCACAUCACGUAAGUGACAACGCAUUUUCCAAGAAAUACGUUUUCUUAUUCUGAAAGCGUAUUCCCAUCUUCUUUUGCUCAAAAUACAUUUUCAGUUCUGGAAAACGUAUUUCCCUCUAUUGCGGCCCGGAAGGCGUUUUCUCCGUUGUGAAACGUAUUUGUGAUUUUGCGCCUCUGCCUUAUUCACCCAGGGACCCGUUGGUGGUAAAAUUUUCACAGAUUGGUCCUCCUUCUUCUACACCUCAUAACUUCGCGACCGUAACUCCGUUUAAGGUGAAACCAGCGCUCACUUCUUCGUUUCGUCGAUCUCUUUCUGUUGGUUUCAUUUUCACUAUGGUUUGACACUGUGAAAAUGACCUUUUUACCCUUGUGCGUAAACAACCCCUCCGAGAGAGAACUGCUUCCGACAAAUCUUUCGGCGGCUUCACUACACUUCUCCCAUGUGCCUUCUUCAUCCCCAGGCAAGCCACAAUACCCGCUUGCAUGAUAGUCAUGCAGUAGCCAUGGUUUUCAACUUGAAUAUUUAAUAAAUGUUUGCUCGUUGAAAAGAUGGUUAUCGUUGUUCCGGUAAUGUUCAGAUUUGCAUGUUCACUUUUGUGCUAUGUUGUUUUGUACUCUGUUGUCCUGUUAUACCAGCUAGUGUUUCCUUCCAUAUGUUUAUGAUUGCUAGUGGUACAUGUUGAUGUUGGUAAUGGUCAUGCUAGUCAGUAUGCCAUGGUCAGUGGAUAUGAUUUAUGGAUGAUAUGGUGGAUAGUUAUGUGAUACCCUCAUGAUGAUGUUGAUAUCAUGUUCAUGUAUUAUUGUUGGCAUCAUGUUAUUUUAUCAUGGCUCAACAUAUUUUUAUUCAAGUUUAACCGGAU
rnacentral:lncRNA from 1 species